UACGAAGGGGGCUAGCGUUGUUCGGAUUUACUGGGCGUAAAGCGCACGUAGGCGGAUCGUUAAGUCGGGGGUGAAAUCCUGGAGCUCAACUCCAGAACUGCCUUCGAUACUGGCGAUCUUGAGUCCGGAAGAGGUGAGUGGAACUCCUAGUGUAGAGGUGGAAUUCGUAGAUAUUAGGAAGAACACCAGUGGCGAAGGCGGCUCACUGGUCCGGUACUGGACGCUGAGGUGCG
rnacentral:rRNA from 1 species